rnacentral:lncRNA from 1 species
AUACUAGCAUAGUACUCAUGUUUGGCAGAAAUAGUAUCAUGCUAUAUAAGCUAUUCCAAAUGUAAGAGUAUGGAAGCGAACGAAUGAUUCUUGUACUUAAAAGAUUUGAUCAAAAACACGCAUUCGUUCUCGCGCAGUUUUGCAUCCGGGAUUUUUCGAGGUUUGCACCUGCCUUUAGGCUACAGCGAAAGUAUUGACAUGGGUGCACCGAGCCAAGACAGCACAUGCCUGAAACAUCACACCAGAUUGUUCUGCAUGGAUCAGUCAGAGAAACUCAAAAGUGGGGCCCUUAUGUGUGUGGAGACAGGAGGCCUCAUUGUUCCUGUAACUGAUCAUGUGGAAGUUUUGGAAAGAUGUGAGAAUGCAACAGAACCUGUCACACACCACUCAUUAAACACUCAAGACUUAGAUAUUUGCUGCAACACUACACCUGUAAACUGGCAAAUCAACAGUUUGUAACAAAAGCUAAAGGUGGGUUUGUGUGAGGACAAAUGGUCAGUGUUGUGGCAAUGCUGAAAUUGUAUCUUUGAGACGAAUACCGACCAAACCAUGGAUUAAAGCCGACUGAUCUUGGUUGUGGGACAAGGAAAACAACUCCAUGCUGAGCAGUGUUGGUUUGAAGCAGAGAGAAUAACCUCAUUGAGAAUCACAGCUUGGUACAAAACAGUUUCCCUCUCACUGGCCUCUAUCUUUCUAGUUGCAGGUGGGGAGCACAAGCCAACAUGGACAAAACUGAAUGCCUCCCCAUCUUUGUCUCCAAACAAAUCUCAAGACGGAACACACGCUGUGUCAUAACCAAAUCAGACAAUCACCCGUAGAGUGUAAGAAAUGUAUGAAAUGUGCAUUUCAAAGAGCAGCCAUGGGGUUUUUCUAACAAGGUGUUCUCAAAUAAUCGAGCUUUAAUGUUCCCAGCCUAUAGGGAAAUAUGCAGUAGAUCUUCAUUUGGCAUUGAAUAAUGCAGAAAUGCUCAACAAUGACUCCCUGGUUAUGGGCUGUAAUUGCAUCCCAUUUUCAUUCUGCCCUGUUCUCGUGCCUAUUUAAAGUAAUGUCAUUGCAGGUGCAUUAAUGCGCUAAUCAGAGUGUCAAAUUUUUGAAACUUAAAGACCAAAUUUUAGUCACCUUGUUUGUGUGCAGAGCAAUACACCCUCUCCCCAUUUGUGACAUACUGUACCCUCCUAAAAUACUAAAUUAUUGAUCAUGACUGACUUGUGCUAAAAAGACUUUAGUGAAAGGACUUUCACAAAACAUCCCUUCAACAGGUGAAAAACCUCCAUAAACUCAAUUUGGCCUUGACAUUGCUGAAGAAGGCUGCAAAUGAUACAAGUUUAAGUCUUGGAUUAUGGUGCAUUUGGUUAACAGUGUUUAUUCAGAAUUGCUGCUAAUAGAGACAAAUAAAAUCAUGAUGCCCCCCCCCUCAUUUU